GACAGAGGGGCAAGCGUUGCUCGGAAUUACUGGGCGUAAAGGGCGCGUAGGCGGGAUGGCAAGUCGGCCGUGAAAGUCCGGGGCUCAACCCCGGGAUGCCGGUCGAUACUGCUGUGGCUAGGGUCCGGUAGAGGAGAGUGGAAUUCCCGGUGUAGCGGUGAAAUGCGCAGAUAUCGGGAGGAACACCAGUAGCGAAGGCGGCUCUCUGGGCCGGUACCGACGCUGAGGAGCGAAAGCGUGGGAGCGAACAGG
rnacentral:rRNA from 1 species